rnacentral:rRNA from 1 species
UUAUCCUACGGGACGCAGCAGUAGGGAAUAUUGCUCAAUGGGGGAAACCCUGAAGCAGCAACGCCGCGUGGAGGAUGAAGGUUUUCGGAUUGUAAACUCCUUUUGUUAGAGAAGAUAAUGACGGUAUCUAACGAAUAAGCACAGGCUAACUCCGUGCCAGCAGCCGCGGUAAUACGGAGGGUGCAAGCGUUACUCGGAAUCACUGGGCGUAAAGAGCGCGUAGGCGGGAAAGCAAGUCAGAUGUGAAAUCUUAUGGCUUAACAAUAGAAAUGCAUUUGAAACUGUUAUUCU